ACCUAUGGCCAUAGCACCCUGAACGCACCCGAUCUCGUCUGGCCUCGGAAGCUAAGCAGGGUCGGGCCUGGUUAGUACUUGGAUGGGAGAAAUACAGACACUUCGGAGC
rnacentral:rRNA from 1 species